AACGAACGCUGGCGGCAUGCCUAACACAUGCAAGUCGAACGAGACCUUCGGGUCUAGUGGCGCACGGGUGCGUAACGCGUGGGAACCUGCCCUUAGGUUCGGAAUAACUCCCCGAAAGGGGUGCUAAUACCGGAUAAUGUCUUCGGACCAAAGAUUUAUCGCCUUUGGAUGGGCCCGCGUUGGAUUAGCUAGUUGGUAGGGUAAAAGCCUACCAAGGCGACGAUCCAUAGCUGGUCUGAGAGGAUGAUCAGCCACACUGGGACUGAGACACGGCCCAGACUCCUACGGGAGGCAGCAGUGGGGAAUAUUGGACAAGGGGCGAAAGCCUGAUCCAGCAGUGCCGCGGGAGUGAUGAAGGCCUUAGGGUUGUAAAGCUCUUUUACCCGGGAUGAUAAUGACAGUACCGGGAGAAUAAGCUCCGGCUAACUCCGUG
rnacentral:rRNA from 1 species